CUUGCCUUAGGUUCUAAAUUAUACAUAAAAUUGGCUGUCUUUUUAUUUCUCAAUCUCUGAGUUUUGCACUAGGCAUGUAGUUAGAAGUUAAUGCUUGGUUUUGUGGGAUCUUCACUCUCUGAGUUUUUCACUAGGCAUGUAGUUAUAAGUUAAUGCUUGGCUGCGGGAUCUUCACUUUUAAUAUUAGUAUGCUUGGUUUUAGUUUCAGAUCCAAGUCCUUUCAUCAGUUCCACAUCAUCAUUUUUACCGCCACUGUAUUUUCUAUCUAAUCCUGCAAUUCUUUUACGUUUUGCUUAUUAUCUACAGGACUGUGUGAGUGAAAUUAUGAAGCAGGCAAGGCAAUCAAAUGUUCCAAUUAUUGUAGAUGGGGUAUUAAUCAAUGAUAUGCAUUUGAUCUUUUUAAGACUUGUUCAUCCAUUGUUUAUCUGUACCCUUUGCUGAGAGGAUGGACUCUUUCUUGUAACAAACAGUAUUGACCUUGUUAGCGGUUAUCCCUUAGCUGUCCUAACGCCAAAUGUGAAUGAAUACAAGCGCCUGGUUCAUAAAGUUCUAAACUGUGAAGUACAUGAUCAAGAUGCUGAUGGGCAAUUACUUUAUCUUUCCAAAAGGUAAAUUGAAUGUAUAUUAGCCUAGUUGUAACGUGUCUAAAAAAACAACAAUGUGGCACAUCAAAUUGACUAUCAUUUUAAGGCAAAUGUAAUAGAAAUAGACUCAACCAUUUGUGGUUGAAAAACUCUAAUUCUAUGUUCUGCCUGAUACAAGGCUGUCUUGUUCAAUUCUAGGUUCUGUUGACUUUCUAAUGCUCAAUAUCUUUAUUGGGUAGGAUCGGGGGUGUAACCAUCUUAAGGAAAGGAAAAUCUGACCUUAUUAGUGAUGGCGAGAUAGGUAUGGAAUACCUAAUAUGAUUCUGAAGUAAUUAUGCUUGUUUGUUUUUACGUUUUCUAGUCUUUCAGAUUUUCACUUGCUAAUUUACUAAGUUUCUCGCUCAAACAGGUUAUGAUUUUUCAUAAGAUUUUUUUAAUUCGGAUGCUAUGUUACCAUGUAUCCCGCUCCCUGAAUCAAAUUAAAUGAGUCAAGGCAUUUUCACUUUCUUGUAGGCUUCAGAAACUACAUGAUUGCUUUGAUAUUAAUCGUUGUUAAUUUAUGCAGUCCAAUCGGUGACCAUCGAUGGUUCACCUAGACAUUGUGGGGGUCGAGGUGAUAUCCUUUCUGGAAGGUAAUUGAUUAUAUACAUAUAAUGUAUUCAAACAGCCAUUCCAGAUGUAUUCUUUUUUAAUGUAAUUAGUUCCACAAUCUCCUCCUAUUCAUUACUUCCUCUUUGGAAUGCUGUAAUUUUCUCAGGCUUUCUGGUUACAUUUCCCCUUGUAAUCUUGUUUUCCCUUGUCUAUGCUACGCAUUCUAAAAGCUAACUGUUCCUUAUUAGGUGGCUAACCAAUUUGUUCGCCAUUUUAUGCAUCUAUGUAGCUUUCAGAUUUGAAAAUCAAAAUGUGUUAGUUUUAAAUUGAAUAUUUGUGAUACAUCCUUUUUGUUGGUGUUAGUGUUGCAGUAUUUUUAUCUUGGGCAAACCAAUAUAUCUUGGCGGCUGAAGGGAAUUUAGCAACAGGUUCUGCCAUCCAUUCUCUUUAACAAUCUAUAAAUAUUUCUACUUUGAUGCUUCAAAAUAUGAUUGACUUUAUAUUCUUUUGAAAUUGCUGCAGACCAACAAAUCCAACAGUGCUAGAAUGCAUUGCUGGGUCUGCUUUAUUGAGGAGGGCUGCAUCACUUGCUUUUGAGAAUAGAAAAAGAUCAACUCUUACCAGUGACAUCAUUGAAUGCUUGGGAAGAAGUUUGGAGGAUAUUUUUCCAGCCUGAUAAGGCAGUUGACAAUGGCGAGAAUUUCACAUGAGCUGUUGUUAUGCAAAGAGCUAUCCCUUAAUUCUGCUGGCUUUUAAUAUUUAUACUCCUUUCACGUUGUACACAGUUUGUACUGCACAGAAUUCUUUCAUGGUGUGACGUGAGGGUUCAAGCUGCACGCUUAAAUAUAAAGUUUGAUAUUUAUUAUAUACUCCUUUCACAUUGUGCAAAUUUCAUACUAAGGAUUAUUUCAGUGUAUGAAUCCUCGUGGUAUGUCCAUAUAAUAUAACGGGAGUGAUGUUUCAAGAUGGACA